rnacentral:rRNA from 1 species
AGUGAACGCUGGCGGUAGGCCUAACACAUGCAAGUCGAACGGCAGCACAGUAAGAGCUUGCUCUUACGGGUGGCGAGUGGCGGACGGGUGAGGAAUACAUCGUAAUCUACUUUUUCGUGGGGGAUAACGUAGGGAAACUUACGCUAAUACCGCAUACGACCUACGGGUGAAAGCAGGGGAUCUUCGGACCUUGCGCGAUUGAAUGAGCCGAUGUCGGAGUAGCUAGUUGGCGGGGUAAAGGCCCACCAAGGCGACGAUCCGUAGCUGGUCUGAGAGGAUGAUCAGCCACACUGGAACUGAGACACGGUCCAGACUCCUACGGGAGGGAGCAGUGGGGAAUAUUGGACAAUGGGCGCAAGCCUGAUCCAGCCAUACCGCGUGGGUGAAGAAGGCCUUCGGGUUGUAAAGCCCUUUUGUUGGGAAAGAAAAGCAGCAGGUUAAUACCCCGCUGUUCUGACGGUACCCAAAGAAUAAGCACCGGCUAACUUCGUG